rnacentral:rRNA from 1 species
GACGAACGCUGGCGGCGUGCUUAACACAUGCAAGUCGAGCGGCGCGGCGAACGGGUGAGUAACGCGUGAGUACCUGCCCCCCUCCCUGGGAUAACAGUUGGAAACGGCUGCUAAUACCGGCUAGUGGGGGAUGACUCGCGUCCUAUCGGCUUGUUGGUGGGGUAGUGGCCUACCAAGGCGACGGCGGGGAGCCGGCCUGAGUGGGGGACCGGCCACAUUGGGCUGAGGUACGGCCCAGACCCCUACGGGGGGCAGCAGUGGGGAAUAUGGCACAAGGGGGGAAACCCUGAUGCAGCAACGCCUCUGGCGGGAUGACGGCCUUCGGGUUGUAAACCGCUUUCAGCCAUGACGCGGUAGUGGCAGAAGAAGCACCGGCUAACUACGUGCCAGCAGCCGCGGUAAUUC